rnacentral:rRNA from 1 species
UACAGAGGGUGCGAGCGUUAAUCGGAUUUACUGGGCGUAAAGGGCGCGUAGGCGGCAAGGCGUGAGUGGUGUGAAAGCCCCGGGCUUAACCUGGGAAGUGCACCGCAGACUACCUUGCUGGAGUAGAUGAGAGGGUGAUGGAAUUCCCGGUGUAGCGGUGAAAUGCGUAGAGAUCGGGAGGAACGUCGAUGGCGAAGGCAGUCACCUGGCAUCAUACUGACGCUGAAGCGCGAAAGCGUGGGGAUCGAACAGG